rnacentral:rRNA from 1 species
GUGGAGAAGCUACUAAGAGCUUAUGGUGAAUGCCUUGGCGCAAAGUGCCGAUGAAGGACGUGGGAAACUGCGAUAAGCUCGGGCGAGCCGUUAACAGGCGACCGAACCCGAGAUCUCCGAAUGGGGAAACCCACUGUGGCGAACCCACAGUAUCUUACGCAAACAACAUAGUGUAAGAAGGGAACCUAGGGAACUGAAACAUCUAAGUACCUAGAGGAAAAGAGAUUAUUCCCCAAGUAGUGGCGAGCGAACGGGGAUCAGCCCAAACCAUCCAGGCUUGCCUGGGUGGGGUUGUAGGACCUGACAAUAAGAGUUACAAAUUGAUCGGUUAGUGGAAUGGUGUGGGACAGCCAGCCAAAGAGGGUAACAGCCCCGUACACGAAAACUGAUUAACUCUGUUGGGUAUCCUGAGUACUGCCGGGCACGCUAAUCCGGUAGGAAUCUGGGGAGUCCACUCUCCAAGGCUAAAUACACUUUGCGACCGAUAGUGAACAAGUACCGUGAGGGAAAGGUGAAAAGUACCCCUGUUAGGGGAGUGAAAUAGAACCUGAAACCAUAAGCUUACAAGCAGUUGGAGGGCUAAUGGCGUGUCGGUGCUCUGGUGAAAACCAGUUGCGCGGCGCUAUGCCUGACAGCGUGCCUCUUGGAGAAUGAGCCUGCGAGUUAAUCUCAGUGGCGAGGUUAAGGAAGUGACAUCCGAAGCCGUAGCGAAAGCGAGUCUGAAUAGGGCGCAUAGUCGCUGGGAUUAGGCCCGAAACCUGGUGAGCUACCCAUGGGCAGGGUGAAGCGAGUCUAAACGCUCGUGGAGGCCCGAACCUACUAAUGUUGCAAAAUUAGGGGAUGACCUGUGGGUAGAGGUGAUAUGCCAAUCGAACUAGGAGAUAGCUGGUUCUCCCCGAAAUAGCUUUAGGGCUAGCGUCAUGCGUUUAGUACUGGAGGUACAGCACUGAAUGGGCUAAGGGGCUUACAGCUUGCUGAACCCAAUCAAACUCGGAAUGCCAGUACUCCAUAGCAUGGCAGUCGGACUCCGGGAGAUGAGUUUCGGGGUCAAAAGGGAAACAGCCCAGACCAUCGGCUAAGGUCCUCAAAUCUAUGCUAAGUGGGAAACGAGGUGAGGUUACUCGAACAACCAGGAGGUUGGCUUAGAAGCAGCCACCCUUUAAAAAGUGCGUAAUAGCUUACUGGUCUAGUGACCUUGCGCGGAAAACUUAACGGGGCUAAGCAUAGUACCGAAGCCAUGGAUCUCAGCGCAAGCUGGGGUGGUAGGGGAGCGUUCCAUCAGCAGUGAAGGUCGACCGUAAGGACGGCUGGAGCGGAUGGAAGUGAGAAUGCAGGCAUGAGUAGCGUAUAAACACGUGAGAACCGUGUUCGCCGUAAAUCUAAGGUUUCCGACGCCAGGUCAAUCCGCGUCGGGUUAGUCGAGACCUUAGCCGAGGCCGAAAGGCGUAGGUGAUGGACAUCCGGUCAACAUUCCGGAACCAUCUAGAUGGAGUGAUGUGGGGACGCAACGAGGUAGGUCAGCCUCCGAUUGGUUGUGGAGGUGCGAUCCGUUUAGGCGUUGAGACCGGUAGGCAAAUCCGCCGGUUGAGCUGAGACGAUAGCGAGCCUUAAGGUGAAGUGACUGAGCCUUAUUGCCAAGAAAAGCCACUAAACGUUGAUAUCUAGAUGCUCGUACCGCAAACCGACACUGGUAGAUGGGUAGAGUAUACCAAGGCGAACGGGAGAACUAUCGUUAAGGAACUAGGCAACAUGACCCCGUAACUUCGGGAGAAGGGGUGCCCACGCAAGUGGGUCGCAGUGAAAUGGUUCUAGUGACUGGUUAUCAAAACCACAGGUCUCUGCUAAGCCGUAAGGCGAUGUAUAGGGGCUGACGCGUGCCCAGUGCCGGAAGGUUAAAGGGAGAGGUUAGGCGCAAGCCAAAGCUUUGAACUGAAGCCCCGGUGAACGGCGGCCGUAACUAUAACGGUCCUAAGGUAGCGAAAUUCCUUGUCGGGUAAGUUCCGACCCGCACGAACCGCGUAACAACUAGAACACUGUCUCAACGAUAGACCCGGUGAAAUUGAAAUGGCUGUGAAGAUGCGGCCUACCCGCAGCAGGACAAAAAGACCCCGUGGAGCUUUACUGCAGUUUGGCAUUGCGUUUGGGUAUCAUCUGUGUAGAAUAGGUGGGAGGCUUUGAAGCUGGCGCGCUAGCGUCGGUGGAGCCACCGUUGAAAUACCACCCUGAUGAUAUUUAGACCCUAACCUCGUUUCAUGGCGAGGGACCGUGCCAGAUGGGCAGUUUGACUGGGGCGGUCGCCUCCUAAAAAGUAACGGAGGCGCCCAAAGGUUCCCUCAGGCAGAAUGGAAACCUGCCAUAGAGUGCAAAGGCAUAAGGGAGCUUGACUGCAAGACCAACGCGUCGAGCA